GACGAACGCUGGCGGCGUGCUUAACACAUGCAAGUCGAACGGUGAAGCGCCUUCCUUUUUGGUGGGUGUGGAUGAGUGGCGAACGGGUGAGUAACACGUGAGUAACCUGCCCCCUUCUUCUGGAUAACCGCAUGAAAGUGUGGCUAAUACGGGAUAUUCUGGGUCUGUCGCAUGAUGGGUCUGGGAAAGAUAUUGUUUCGGUGGGGGAUGGGCUCGCGGCCUAUCAGCUUGUUGGUGGGGUGAUGGCCUACCAAGGCGGUGACGGGUAGCCGGCCUGGGAGGGUGGACGGUCACACUGGGACUGGGACACGGCCCAGACUCCUACGGGAGGCAGCAGUGGGGAAUAUUGCACAAUGGGCGCAAGCCUGAUGCAGCGACGCCGCGUGAGGGAUGGAGGCCUUCGGGUUGUGAACCUCUUUCGCCAGUGAAGCAGGCCUGCCUCGUUUGUGGGUGGGUUGACGGUAGCUGGAUAAGAAGCGCCGGCUAACUACGUG
rnacentral:rRNA from 1 species